UACGAAGGGGGCUAGCGUUGCUCGGAAUCACUGGGCGUAAAGCGCACGUAGGCGGAUUGCUAAGUCAGGGGUGAAAUCCUGGAGCUCAACUCCAGAACUGCCUUUGAUACUGGCGACCUUGAGUCCGGGAGAGGUGAGUGGAACUGCGAGUGUAGAGGUGAAAUUCGUAGAUAUUCGCAAGAACACCAGUGGCGAAGGGCGGCUCACUGGCCCGGUACUGACGCUGAGGUGCGAAAGCGUGGGGAGCAACAGG
rnacentral:rRNA from 1 species